GGUUUCUGUUGCAGUCAGCACUCAGUGCUGCAGCAGGGUAAAUACCAAACAGGAGUGAGUUCGUGUGAAGGACAGAUUAAAAAUACCUGCGACACCUUUCCAAGCCAAUAAUGUUUACAACACAUUAGGACGCAGCAAAGAAAUGUAAAGGUGUCGACUGCUGCUGUAACACUGAAGCACCUCACACAGACAGAAGAGAACAAAUUAAAUUGCUUUGUUUUUUUACAUUUAUGAACUGUAAGGUCAGUCUGUUUCCUGUUCCUGCUGUGUGAGGUUAAUCAGUGUCACCACAAUCACCUGUGUCUCUGUCGUUAGUCUCACUGGUGUCACCUGGUAGCCUGGGUAUAUAUAUACACCUGUCCCUGACUCUGUCUUGGUGGGAUCAUUGGUCUGUUAUUGUUAGCGUGUUAUCUGUCUCCUGGAGCUGUCCUUGAGUUUUAUGAAAGUCUGUAAUAUUGGACAAGCGCGUACACGUAGUUGAUGCUUUAUUCCUGUUAGUUUUUGCACUGUUAAUAAACCUGCUGCACCUGAAGAGAGUCUCCCAAAGUGCUGCAAUUGGUGCUUCCUACCAUGACUGACUGUAACAGGAACAGUUACUUGGUUCCUGUUUUUAGGUCAAAGCUCAGAUACUUCUUGUCUAAAUGGAAGUUUAGGCUCCAUUACGCUCUGAUCUUUGGCUGCUCUUAGCUGUGGGUCAGGCCGCUAAGCGAUGCAGCACAGCGGCCAAUCAGAGAGCAGCGGCGCGGAGCAGGGAAGGAGAAAACCAAGGAGGAAUAACAGGAGGCCCAACCCCGUCUCCACCCUGCUUUUAAACCGUAAACACACCAGACCAGUGCGGGGUUUCUCAAAUAGCGGCUCGAGACCAAUUGGAUUUGGUAGGUUGUAGAAGGUAGGUAAUGUAGGUUUAUAAACCGGAUAUAAAAGAUGGGCAGAGAUAUCUUUGUUGCAAACUAUAGAUAACAAUGGAAGUAAACUUCUUCAUGCAGUAGAGUACACUUUUUCCAGACACAAAGUUCAUCUACUAUACAAGUAAAUAUUUUAGUGUUUAAGGUUAGAGAGCCAUGGACCAGGCUCUAGAUUGAACAUGAUUUAAAUUUGGGAAAUUGUGGCUUAAGUUAUAGAACACUUUCUUUAAAUUGUUGGAUUAAAAAUUCAAUUUUAUUUUUAUUCAAUAAAAAAAAACCAACAUAAAGAUACCAUGAAGUAUUUAAGUGAUCGACAAGUACAUACAGUAUAAUAGUGAUUCCUAGUUUUUAGCUUGUUUUUUCCUUCCCAAGUGAGAAAAAAAAAUAUAUAUACUGCAUGUCACAUGCACACAUGUACAUACAGUACAUAAAAACCUCCUUAAAGUUCUUCUAACGUUACAUACUUAUUGGACUAUAGCACCAUCUAUUGGCCAUUUUCAUGUUUUAAGCUUUUACUGUCCUUUCGUUUUUGUGUAUGAGGCGUCAGCCUGAGCUGCUUCUCUUUGUGCUUCUUAUUUAAACGAUGGUUUAUACAUUUUCAGAGCUCCACAUCAGACCAAAGAUCUCUUUGAAGUUACUCUGGUCUCUGAUCUUUAGAGCCACACCAGUUACAUGUUAUGGUAUUUAGCACCAAUGAUAUGACAGAAUACAUCAAAAUAUAACUUUGUUUUACUUAAAAACAUUUAUUCUCACAGCAGUGCAUAUAUAUUCAUGUUAAUAACAGAAAACAUAACAAGACAGAAAGAAAAUAAAACUAUCUACGACCUCUGUUCACAUUCACAUUAAAUGAUUAAAAAGCAAAUGUCACAAUCAAUGA